CCUACGGGAGGCAGCAGUGAGGAAUAUUGGUCAAUGGUCGGGAGACUGAACCAGCCAAGCCGCGUGAGGGAGGAAGGUACAGAGUAUCGUAAACCUCUUUUGUCAGGGAACAAAGGCGGGGACGUGUCCCCGGAUGAGUGUACCUGAAGAAAAAGCAUCGGCUAACUCCGUGCCAGCAGCCGCGGUAAUACGGAGGCUGCGAGCGUUAUCCGGCUUUAUUGGGUUUAAAGGGUGCGCAGGCGGUCUGUUAAGUCAGCGGUAAAAGCCCGGGGCUCAACCCCGGCCCGCCGUUGAAACUGGCAGUCUCGAGUUGGAGAGAAGUAUGCGGAAUGCGCGGGGUAGCGGUGAAAUGCAUAGAUAUCGCGCAGAACUCCGAUUGCGAAGGCAGCAUGCCGGCUCCACACUGACGCUGAGGCACGAAAGCGUGGGUAUCGAACAGGAUUAGAUACCCUAGUAGUC
rnacentral:rRNA from 1 species